rnacentral:rRNA from 1 species
CAAGUCGAACGGGGGUGGGGGCAACUCCACUUCAGUGGCGAACGGGUGAGUAAUGCAUCGGAACGUGUCCCGUAGUGGGGGAUAACGCCGCGAAAGCGGCGCUGAUACCGCAUACGCUCUGUGGAGGAAAGCCGGGGACCCGCAAGGGCCUGGUGCUAGGGGAGCGGCCGAUGUCCGAUUAGCUAGUUGGUGGGGUAAUGGCUUACCAAGGCAACGAUCGGUAGCUGGUCUGAGAGGAUGAUCAGCCACACUGGGACUGAGACACGGCCCAGACUCCUACGGGAGGCAGCAGUGGGGAAUUUUGGACAAUGGGGGCAACCCUGAUCCAGCCAUGCCGCGUGCGGGAAGAAGGCCUUCGGGUUGUAAACCGCUUUUAGCCGGGAAGAAAAGGCGCGGGCUAAUACCCUGUGUUUUUGACGGUACCGGCGGAAUAAGCACCGGCUAACUACGUGCCAGCAGCCGCGGUAAUACGUAGGGUGCGAGCGUUAAUCGGAAUUACUGGGCGUAAAGCGUGCGCAGGCGGUUCGUUGUGUCGGCGGUGAAAGCCCCGGGCUUAACCUGGGAAUGGCCGUUGAAACUGGCGAACUGGAGUGUGGCAGAGGGGGGUGGAAUUCCGCGUGUAGCAGUGAAAUGCGUAGAGAUGCGGAGGAACACCGAUGGCGAAGGCAGCCCCCUGGGCUAACACUGACGCUCAGGCACGAAAGCGUGGGGAGCAAACAGGAUUAGAUACCC